AAAUAAGAAGCAAUAAACUGCAUUUAAUUUCGACUUAAAAGAUUGAGUAUUUACUCCUUAUUUA
rnacentral:tRNA from 1 species